rnacentral:rRNA from 1 species
GAUUAUGGCUCAGGAUGAACGCUGGCGGCGUGCUUAACACAUGCAAGUCGAGCGAAGCGAUUCAAAUGAAGUUUCGGAUGGAUUUGAAUUGACUUAGCGGCGGACGGGUGAGUAACGCGUGGGUAACCUGCCUCAUACAGGGGGAUAACAGUUGGAAACGACUGCUAAUACCGCAUAAGCACACAGUGCCGCAUGGUACGGUGUGAAAAACUCCGGUGGUAUGAGAUGGACCCGCGUCUGAUUAGGUAGUUGGUGAGGUAACGGCCCACCAAGCCGACGAUCAGUAGCCGACCUGAGAGGGUGACCGGCCACAUUGGGACUGAGACACGGCCCAAACUCCUACGGGAGGCAGCAGUGGGGAAUAUUGGACAAUGGGGGAAACCCUGAUCCAAGCGACGCCGCGUGAGUGAAGAAGUAUUUCGGUAUGUAAAGCUCUAUCAGCAGGGAAGAAAAUGACGGUACCUGACUAAGAAGCCCCGGCUAACUACGUGCCAGCAGCGGC